AGCUUAUUUUCCAGCAUUUUUCAAAUAACACAUAGAAGAGUGACCUUUUUCUCUCCAAUAGGGAAUCUGAAGCUGUGGACCCCAUAAAAUGCUGGGCCUCAUUUAGGCCUCAUGAGAAAGUUGGUCCAAGAGGAUUCGGUGAAAACAGAAACAUCAGCUGAGACCAAGCUGGAGAGACAGGGUCAAGGAAGCUACAGGAAGCCUGUGUGUCUGCCUCUGCGGGUGGGAGAAGGGGACAAGCUGACAAGUGAGAAGACAGAGGAGGAGAGAUACAUCAAGGGUCUACUACGUGAAGAACAGAUAUCAAAUGGCGUCAUUCACAGAAUCUCAGUAAAGAGGCAGUACGAUAAAAUGCUGACAAAGCGAUUAGAGAAACGGUAAGCUUAAAAAUCAGAAAAAUCGAGAUUAAAAUCUUACCUUUUCUAUUCACUACCCACAUAACCUUACAUGACUUAUUUAAAUCUUCUAAGGAUCAGGUGCAGUUGUGACAUUUAAAAAGCAAGGAUAGUGCUUAAGUGCAAGAUGGUCCUGAGAGUUAAACGAAAUGAUGCACACGUGGCACUGAGAAAACGUCUCAUGUAGAAUGAAUGUCUAAACACUGCUCCGCUUCCUUCAUUUUCCUCAUCUGGAGUUAUGCAG
rnacentral:lncRNA from 1 species